UCCCUGAUGGUCUAAUGGUAAGGAUUCAGCGCUUUCAUUGCUGUGGCCUGGGUUUGAUUCCCGGUCAGGGAA